AGGUUACAGGGCCUAAACUUAUACAGGUUUCGUCAUGAGGGCUGCCCAGUGAAUAAUCUGUGCAAUGUGAUACGGCUGGGUGUACAGGUUACUUCACAGCUGCCUCGACAUACUCAAGAAAUGGGUGCAGAACCUGCGUAAUGCCCGCAAAGUUUGACUACCACAGCAUCUCCAGAAAGUAAAGGGAUAUGUGUCACAUGGGAUUUUUAAAGGCAUUCACAGUAUAUAAUACCUUCUAUGAACUGUUGUAGAUCUAAGCAGCUUCUACAGUACACUCUCAGAUAUUAAAACUUGUCAGGGAACUGUGAUAAUUGUUUCAGUUAAUAGGCAUGCACAUAUACGCUAUAAGAAGACAAUUAUUUAUUGAGAAUGCACUUCUCUGGCUACUCAUGUUGUUUACAUCUACUGUUGAUCACAUUCAUUUAUCACAUAUUAUAUUAUUA